rnacentral:pre_miRNA from 1 species
ACGGUCAGAACCUCGCCGCAUGCGGUUUUGCCGAAAAAUCCCAUACAAAAGAUUGUGGCAAAAUUGCAUGCGGCGAGGUUCUGACCG